rnacentral:tRNA from 1 species
GCGGUGUAGCUCAGCUGGCUAGAGCGUUCGGUUCAUACCCGAAAGGUCGGGGGUUCGAUUCCCUUCGCCG